GCACGAAGCCGGAAUCGCUAGUAAUCGCAGAUCAGAAUGCUGCGGUGAAUACGUUCCCGGGUCUUGUACACACCGCCCGUCACACCAUGGGAGUCGGAAAUGCCCGAAGUCAGUGGCCCAACCGGAAGGAGGGAGCUGCCGAAGGCAGGUCCGGUGACUGGGGUGAAGUCGUAACAAGGUAUC
rnacentral:rRNA from 1 species